AUAAGGAGGAAACAAAUUUGUGGAACAAAUUGCAUAUAAAACACUAAAUACAUUGUCUGUUUUUUCCCCUCAGCAUCUCUUCCUUGGGACUGUGAGUCAGCACAGCAAUCUGCCACGUGCCUGGAACUACAGAACGUGCUGACAAGUGCCCAUCUACUAAGGCAGAGCAUACACAAAUGGUGUUUACAGACAUCUUAUAAUUAGUACUCUAAAUCAUAACUAAAAAGUGGCUAAAGCGUGAAGCUUCGUGAGUCCAAAGUGGAACAUCAGCUUGCCAAUGUGGCAUCUGCUACGCGCCCGGUAAAUAGCCACACAGAACCUGUCAUCUGUGCAACUGUCACAUAUGCUUGUCUGAGGUCAGCCCUUUUCCCCUCCAUGUACAUUCGAGUCAAUGCAGAAGGAAGAGCAAGCUCCUAAAGGAGGCUGUCAGAAACUGAUGCCCAAUGAAGGAGGCAGCACCGAUUUCAGCAGAAGUUAGAAAGCCAGGAGGUGAGUAGACUAGUUAAAGAAGCAUUUAGCAACUUCCUCCACUGUUGUUUUAAUAAUAAUUUCAAAAAGGUUUCCAUUUUGGCUGGUCUUUGUUCUUAUAAUACUCAUUGCCUUUAAGAGAAAGCUUUACUGAGCACUAAGUCAUACUGCUAAGUGUUAAUUUACUUUUUUUCCCCCCUAUCAAUUAGCAUAACUUGAUCAUGAGCUAACAAAAGGCAGAAACAUACUCUGAUGUACGGUCAAACAGCACUUAGUAGUCCAAAUGUUUGCCAGAAAUUACUGAUACAAAAGGAGUAUUAGAUAACUGUUUUCAGCCCUCUUAAGGAAGAAGAGUCUACUAGAUAUCAGAAAAUGUUCAUUGUACAAAAAAAACCCCACAGUCUUCAGGAUUUCUUCUUAGUAUUUUAUAAAAUAUUCCUUUAGCAAUGGCUAAAAUCUUAAAAAUCUUCAUUAGGAGAAAUACAGUUCUUUCAUAAAUUCAGUAUUUUCCAUGUGCAUUCUACACAGAAGUUGUUUCCAAAACAAAAUAAACCACAACAUGGCAGAAAAUUAAAACAAGAGAAUCCACAGUAAGUACUCAGGAUUAGCUCUGCACAUCAGUAGCACAAGCAGCUGUGAGUGCAAAGUCAGUUUUGUGGGACAAUUAUGCAUGCUGGCUUUUUCUUUUUUUUUAAACAAAGGUUAACAUUUGAUCAGUUCCUGUACAUGUAGUAUUUAUGGAUGAAAAUAAAUAUAAUAUCCCAGUUCUAUUAACAUAAGAACUUAAAUUAUGCUCUUAGACAAUUUUAUGCAAAAGAUCAUCUGAGCCAUUCAUACCUUUUUAGCAGAUGAACUAAAAGCAGCAUUGGACACACUCACUGCUUCCCAAAUGCUUCCCAUUUUAAAGAGUAAAGAGACAGUUAUGCUGAUGAUAUUUGUAAGGUGCUCUGAGAUCUAUCAGAUAAUAUGGUGGUUACUGCUAUUUAUUUGCAGACCAUACAAACAUUCCACAAAUGAGUCACCUGCACGUAUACAAGAAAAAGUAAAACUAUUAAGGAUAAUACAAAUAACUUUACUUUGGAAAUGCAUCACGGCCAAUGUCAGCACAGAUUUGCCAUUUGAAAUCUACUGCUGUGCAAAGCAGGGAAAGAAAGGGAAGAAAGAGGCAUUAUACCUCCCGCCAUGAAAUGCUGCAGCUUGUCAGGCUCAAUAAAACAUUUCCUUAGUCCUAUCAGGGUGGGAAACUGUUUCUUUCUAAAUGGAAAGAAUGAUCAAUAUUCUGAGAUGAAUGCACUUUCUACCUAAUGAUGAAACAUGGUAACAUUUUUUUAAAUCCAGUUGAAUCAACCCUUUUACCUAACUGAAGCUGAGGAAUAAAAGAAACAACCAAAAUCUUACCCAGAAUAAACAUUACAAGCUUAAUUUUCUGCCUCCAACUUUAAAGCUUAUAUCAUUUCUUUGUUUAUUUACAUGCUAGAUAUUGAUCUACUCUCUGAUUUGUCAUUAUAAAUCUGUUAAACAUCUCUUUAAAUUACAGAAACUUCUAUAAAUGUUACAUAUGCAAAUAUCUGUAUAUAUGAUCAGAUAUUAAAAAAUGCAAAGACUUAGGGAGAUAAUGUCUUUGAGAAUUGUUCACAAACCGAACACAUUAUUAUCACUUAACACAUAAGAACAACACCCUUGCCUAACUGAAACAGCCCAAAUACCUCAUUUGUUUCAUAGUUUGAGACAUGAAAUCUGUGACACUAUUUUAUUGAAGUUUUCAAUGAAAUUUUUGAAUUUUGACUAUUGAUGCUUUUACAAAACACAAAACCGUUAUUUCCAAAAGGUACAGAUUAUGAUCAUGAAUACAUCAAUGAGAAGAGACUAGACAGAUUAGGAAUAAUGUUUUCAUGUACCUUGAGGCCCACAUUGUGUUAGUCUUACAUUCUUGCAUUAUUAAUAUCCUUUCUAAAAUUGACAUGCAAUCAAAAUUGAAAAGAAGUGCGUGCUUUUGAGCACACUAUCUUUGAAGGCAGUAGAAAUGAGCUUUCGGUCUGUGAGUUUAUUCCCACCUCAACACAGCUUACGCAGAACUCCCACUUUAUUUCACUUACGAGGCCUCAUCAUUCAUUUUUGGAUCUUAUGUGGAAAUUAUACCACCUCCUCUGAUCUCUGGGAUCUGGCUUCUGCUCAGAUGAUACGUGCAGGGAUUCUGCCCGUUAGAUAUUUCUAUUAAGAGAUUUGCAAUGAACUUGUUUUUUUCAACUCUUCGGAGGGUUCAGUAAUGUGUAUAGUCUGCCAAUGGAGUUCUGGUCAUAAACUGAAUGAAAAACACAUUUAAUGAGCCUCCUGAAACAUGUAUUAUUUGCUAAAAGACCAAAAAAUACUUUUCAGUAUGCUAAUAAUACUCAAUUAAGAAAAAAAAAGAUUGAGUGUUAAUACAAAACAAGCCCUCCUGCCUUCGCAAUUACCUUUCAAAUAUGAAUCUACUGGGUUUUAUUAAGUUUGCUUUCUAAAACACUGGCUGAAAUACUAAUACUCAAAUGUUAAAGGUUACAUUUAAGUCAGGCAUCUUGACUGCCUGCUGUUCCAAGGACUGAGAUUUCUGGCCAUACUCCUGAAAGGUAUUCAAUAUCUGAGUAUUUUUUUUUCUCUCUGGGCAUAAGGAGGUUGCACUAAGAAAAAGGAGGUUGUCACUGUUCAAAAUAGGAUGAUAUAUCCUUCCCUUGCUGUUGGUGUCUGAACAAACACAAUGCUUGUUUCAGUCAGUUAUUUAGACAUGUUAUGAAGGUGCAGAGAGUGUGAUUAAUGCAAACUAGACUCCAGAGACAAAGCAAACGGGCUAGUUAUGGUGUGUUGGAUUUUGACAGGAAGCACUUGGGCUCAGCUCUGAAAACCAGAUUCUGAAGACAUCUCCUCUCUUCUCCCUCUCACACAUUCCCACCUACAGGCAUCACUCACUUUGUUAAACCAAAGCACUCAAUUCCCCUUUACCUAUCCAAAUCCCCCAGGAAGUGCUAUGUGCUCUUUCUCAUUUAUGAAAUAAAUAUCCAGUCUUGAUACCUCAGUUCUUGCCUACCACCAGGAAAAUAAUACAAUUCCUGGGCAUUCUGCACACAGAAGGAAGCCCACCAGAGUAACCCCUGGGCUAAUGACCUCUCUGCCGCUGAAAAUGGUACCGCUGGCUCUUUGAAGCAAAUCCCUCUUCAAAGGCUUGCUAUCUCUGAAGGAAGUGUUGACACUGCUUGCAAGGCUUGCUUUAAACUUACUCAGCAAAGGAAGAGAGAGCUGACACAAGCAUUAAACACCCUUUGACAAUUUCCGCAUUUUGGGAAGGUGAUUUACUUGAAAGAUAUUUGCCGUGUUGAAGGUGCGCAGUGCAAAUCAGAGAUAAAAGAAUUCCUGCUCUUACACAACUCUCACAUAUCUCCAGAGAAUCACUUAGUGUUAUUCAGAUGGGAGCCCACUACUAUAGUAAUUUUGAAUAUCGCUGUAGUCUGAGAUGGAGGUAGCUAUAAUUGCAGAAAGGCACACAAGAAAUAGAUGCUUCUUCCCCAUACACAUUAAUGUUGUAUUUACUUCAGUUCCAGCAGGUAAUUAGCACAUAAUGCAGAGAAACACAAAUGCUGUUUUGUCUUUAUUGCAGAUAAAAGGUGGCAAUGAAUCAUAUUUGGCUACCUCAAUUUCUGUAAAGUGAAGAAUAGUUGUAUAUCCAUACUUCUGUAUUUAUAUUCACAGAUAAGUCAGGAAAUUAUACAGCCCAAAUAUUAUGCACAGUCUCUUUACUGAAAUGGUAACUGCUGGGCCUUUAAUUACAUAGCUGACACUUUGCAGAUGGGCUGAUUAUAUGUUAUAUACCAUACAGAGGUAAUUAGGUAUCAGCUGUAUUUGUGACACUGCCAGAGAAUGUUAUUUAGUCAGCAUGUAGCUUUCUUCAGUACUAAUCACAGUCAUGUUCUUGGUGCUUUUAUGGGAGGAAACAAGUCAGGACUGAGGGCCUGCAUCCCAGAAUAGUUCCGGGUGGAUGUUAGACACAUGAAAUAAAUAGACUGUGGGAAGAAAAUUUCAAUAUCAGUGUUACACAAACCCUAAAAUUUUGAUGGAUAUCGUUAAACUAAUUAUCUAAAAGUUCAAACAUGUAUUCACAGUUGAGCUGGCUGAAAUUUUCCCUGUGAAACACUGUUUUACUGCUUGGAAAAUGGCUGCUGGCUUACAGACAUCUUCCUAAAAUUAAAUUACUAUUGCUAGAAAUGGGACAAUUGGUUCUUCAGAAAACAAACAAGCAAAAAACCCCCAGAACUGAAAAAGUAAUAUUAUUAUAUUUGUCAAAGGGAGGCAAAAUGGUUCAGGUGUUUUCAAAAUUGUGUAUCACUUUUUUUUAAAGAAAAAAAGAGGAAAACAAAAUCUUAAUAUUGAGGACAGAAGUCCAAUAUGCUCCCCUAAAGUAUUUUAUAAUAAACCCAAACCAAUUCAUACGGAAUGCUUACAAAAGCUGAAAUUUCCUCUUAACAUUCCUAGAACCUUUGGCAGAGUCAGAAGGUAAUUUGGGAUGAAAACUCUGCCCCUCACAGCAGAAUUCUGAAAAUAAAACGUCCCUCAGAAUGAAACUACCCAUCUGACACUUCUUUUUUAUUGCUUCAAUACCAAAAAAGAACUAAGAGCCUAUUUAUCUGCAGUUCUGCUCCUCAUUUUACUGUGAUGCUACCAAUAGCAACUUCACAAUUUAAAGAAGGAAUGGCAGAUACUAACUUAUUCCAUUUUCCUCAGGUACCUCAGAAGUACAGUUUGCUUUCCCCAAAAUUAUAUAAUGUGAUUCAUCAGGAAAAAUUCAUUCUUUGGAAACAAAGCACAGGCUUUUGUAUGGCAGCAACAACCUCUCUCCUCUCCACUUUCUGCAGUAAAUUUCUCCUUCCUAUCUCUGGUCAUCCUUUUCCUCCCUUGUCUCCUCACUACAUCCCUCUGCAUCUUCCAGUAGUUUUUAAAUUUUCUUGUUUUCAUGGCAAGAACUAAAUCUCUAUCUGUAUUUCUCUCUUGUAUGAUUCAGAGAUCCUCAUAUUCAAGACAUCCUGCUGCUUCUCUGCUACUUUUCUCCCUUCCAAUACUCUCAGUCAGAACCAGGAGCCAGCGUUAUGCUUUGUGAAAGGUACUACUUCUCAUGGAAAGGAUUAGACUGAAUUUGCAUUGCUUCUUUUGUAAAGUAUUCACCAGUUCCUGAUGGACAACACCAUUUUAGUGAUUGCUGCUAUCUUCCAUUCAAAUGGCUGGACUCAUUUGUGCCCUAUUCAAAUAUAGAGUACUGAACCCAAAAAAUAAUUUACAAAACAAAUUAACCAUGCACAGAGAUAAAGAAAAAACAGGGCUAUGAAGUGGUCAUGCGCCAAUAAUAUUACAUAUUAAAAUGUAAUUGACCGUACAGAGGUAAGCCAAAUCAAUAGUAAAAGUAACUCUGGCCAGUAAUUUUCCUGUAUACUGUAAAGGGAUCAUCCAUCUUAUAUACCAAAAUACCCCAAAGAUUUCUGAUUUAGCCUAUCCAUUGCUAUCAAGACUGUAAACCCCAUAAACCAUGAUAAAUGUAGAUAACUUCAGAAAACAAGGUCCACAAGGUCCAAUUCCAGUCUUAGAUACAGAACUUCCAUCACUCCUUAUACACUACAGCUAUGAAAACUGGGAAUUUUGCAUGCAUGAGACACAUUUUCAGUUGUAUGAUCUUUUAUCUUCCUUCUAAACAAAGAAACUGAGACCAGAAUUAGGUUUAUGUAUGAACAGCGUGACAUAUAGGUAGACUGCAGUCAGUAACUGAAGAAUAUUGGAAAUACUAAUGAAUGAGAUCCAUGUAUCUCACAACUUACAUGUUUCUCGGAAUUUAUUUUACUUGCCUAAGGCUACUGAAUGCUCUGCACACUUUGUAUUAAUAUCCACUGUUGCACCACCAAGCCUGAGCUACUUUAUACCAUUGCACAGGAAAUACGUGGACUCAUGUUCGUUCACAUAAAAAUGCCUCCCUCUCCCUUUUACUCAGAUAAGUAGCAGACUUACAGAUAUUAAUGGGUGGCAAAUGUAACCAUUACUAGAAAAUAAGUCUUGCUUUAAAAAAAACAAACAAUCCGGUUUGCCCUUUAUGAAAAAAUAAUUUUAAACCCCAAUAAAUAUAUAUAAAUACAUAUUUUGAUAUGUAGCCCUGUAUUUCUUGUCUAUCUGUACCCCGGAAGUGUGUAGAGGAGAUCCGUAUCUCCUUUUGAGAUUACUUUUUUUCUCUCUAAUAUUUAAUCUUACUCUUAAAGUAUGACAAAGCAUCUUCUGAAUCGUAACCUUUAAGUACUAUUUUUUCACUUAACACUUUUUAUUCUCUCACAUUUUAUCUCUACAAGAAAAGAUUCUGAAGCUCCUGAAAGGGCUUGUGUAUCAAGUGUUUCCUCAUGGUGACUAAACAUGUCGGAGGGGUGUGAAGUCAGGAUGCACUUACCGUGAGAAACCACAUGUACACUAUAGCUGUCAUACCCAAAUGAACUUCUUAUUGGAGAAAAGGCAACGCUUUGGGGCAGCCAACUAUCAAAGUGGAUCUGUGAGAGCAUCCUGCAGCGUGGGGCUCUGCCCACCCACGCGUCCCUUGGGGAACAGGAAUGGUUCAUUUUUGGGUAGCAUUCCCAUUGCUGUUUAGGUCAAGAGGACAGCAUAUCUGACUGUACAAACUAAUAAUGCACUUCAAAUUCAGAGUACAGCAUAUUGAAAAAAAUUACAGAAAAGCAACAUUUGCAUUUCUUUUGUCUACUAAAAAUGACUUGUGUUCCGAUUUUGAUGUUAUGGCUAUAAGUUUAAGAUGCCAUUAAUGCAUGAAGUUAUGCAGGUUUCAUCCUCUGUUACUCUAGACAAUCUUCCUUCCCAAUGCAUGGAAAUACAUAUGAUACAUCAAUAGAUUGUGCGGAUAAUUCAAUGUAGUAAAGCUUUCAUUUAGUUGUCUGAGCUGAUAAUUAAAUAACUGAAAUUUGGAAAUUAUAACAAUAAAAUCAAACUUUAAAAAAAUUGCUAUGAUCUCUUUUAUUUCAAAAUAUAGCUGUGAAAAAAACUUGUAUGCCUUCAGGUCAGAUACAGAUACUCUGCAACUGACUACUCAGGACUCAUCUGUCCUAUUAAACUACUAUUUCAGCUUACAAUAAAUAAUUAUUGUAAGAUGCCCUUAAACUAUAAGUACCCAAAUAUUUCCACUGCUAGCAGAGGUAUGAGGAAAUUGGAAACUAAUAGACAGGAUUUUUGAAGACAUGAAAUUCAAGGGUGAUGUUUUUCACAGAGUCGUAUCAAUUGCAGUCGGACAGAUACACUCUUUUUCAUACCAAAGCUUAAAAGCAGCACUUCUGCAACUUGGAACUCAGAUGUUUCUAGCAGAACCCAAUAUACUUAGUGUGCAAAUUUCACAAAAUAUUGCAUUGUUGAUAUUUUCUUUCAAAUUUUCAAGUGAAUGUUACUUCAUUUAAAGCAAACAAAAUUUAGGAAUUAAAGCAGGAAUAAGGUACUGGAGCCUACAUAAUUUUAAAGGAUAAAGGGUUUUUUGCUGGAUAACUCUAACAUACCUUAGUCCAUGUAUAUAUCAGGAACUGAUUCAGUGGCUUGAAGGACAGCAAAAGGUUUUCAAAUGUGGAAAAG